UUCUUCUAUGAGGGGAAAGAAGGCUAGCAAUCCCCUAGAUAAAGAUGGGAAGACACUGUAAAUGACCAUAUAAUACAGAUUUGGGUAAGGCACUGGCCACCAUGGUUUUCCUGUGCUUAU
rfam:Myotis davidii contig229247, whole genome shotgun sequence.